rnacentral:rRNA from 1 species
GGAGCUAUACAUGCAGUCGAGCGAACAGAUGAGAAGCUUGCUUCUCUGAUGUUAGCGGCGGACGGGUGAGUAACACGUGGGUAACCUACCUAUAAGACUGGGAUAACUCCGGGAAACCGGGGCUAAUACCGGAUAAUAUUUUGAACCGCAUGGUUCAAUAGUGAAAGACGGUUUCGGCUGUCACUUAUAGAUGGACCCGCGCCGUAUUAGCUAGUUGGUAAGGUAACGGCUUACCAAGGCGACGAUACGUAGCCGACCUGAGAGGGUGAUCGGCCACACUGGAACUGAGACACGGUCCAGACUCCUACGGGAGGCAGCAGUAGGGAAUCUUCCGCAAUGGGCGAAAGCCUGACGGAGCAACGCCGCGUGAGUGAUGAAGGUCUUCGGAUCGUAAAACUCUGUUGUUAGGGAAGAACAAAUUUGUUAGUAACUGAACAAGUCUUGACGGUACCUAACCAGAAAGCCACGGCUAACUACGUGCCAGCAGCCGCGGUAAUACGUAGGUGGCAAGCGUUAUCCGGAAUUAUUGGGCGUAAAGCGCGCGUAGGCGGUUUCUUAAGUCUGAUGUGAAAGCCCACGGCUCAACCGUGGAGGGUCAUUGGAAACUGGGAAACUUGAGUGCAGAAGAGGAGAGUGGAAUUCCAUGUGUAGCGGUGAAAUGCGCAGAGAUAUGGAGGAACACCAGUGGCGAAGGCGGCUCUCUGGUCUGUAACUGACGCUGAUGUGCGAAAGCGUGGGGAUCAAACAGGAUUAGAUACCUGGUAGUCCACGCCGUAAACGAUGAGUGCUAAGUGUUAGGGGGUUUCCGCCCCUUAGUGCUGCAGCUAACGCAUUAAGCACUCCGCCUGGGGAGUACGACCGCAAGGUUGAAACUCAAAGGAAUUGACGGGGACCCGCACAAGCGGUGGAGCAUGUGGUUUAAUUCGAAGCAACGCGAAGAACCUUACCAAAUCUUGACAUCCUUUGACCGCUCUAGAGAUAGAGUCUCCCCUUCGGGGGACAAAGUGACAGGUGGUGCAUGGUUGUCGUCAGCUCGUGUCGUGAGAUGUUGGGUUAAGUCCCGCAACGAGCGCAACCCUUAAGCUUAGUUGCCAUCAUUAAGUUGGGCACUCUAGGUUGACUGCCGGUGACAAACCGGAGGAAGGUGGGGAUGACGUCAAAUCAUCAUGCCCCUUAUGAUUUGGGCUACACACGUGCUACAAUGGAUAAUACAAAGGGCAGCGAAUCCGCGAGGCCAAGCAAAUCCCAUAAAAUUAUUCUCAGUUCGGAUUGUAGUCUGCAACUCGACUACAUGAAGCUGGAAUCGCUAGUAAUCGUAGAUCAGCAUGCUACGGUGAAUACGUUCCCGGGUCUUGUACACACCGCCCGUCACACCACGAGAGUUUGUAACACCCGAAGCCGGUGGAGUAACCUUUUAGGAGCUAGCCGUCGAAGUGACAU